rnacentral:rRNA from 1 species
GACGAACGCUGGCGGCGUGCCUAAUACAUGCAAGUUGAGCGCUGAAGGUUGGUCCUUGUACCAACUGGAUGAGCAGCGCACGGGUGAGUAACGCGUGGGGAAUCUGCCUUUGAGCGGGGGACAACAUUUGGAAACGAAUGCUAAUACCGCAUAAAAACUUUAAACACAAGUUUUAAGUUUGAAAGAUGCAAUUGCAUCACUCAAAGAUGAUCCCGCGUUGUAUUAGCUAGUUGGUGAGGUAAAGGCUCACCAAGGCGAUGAUACAUAGCCGACCUGAGAGGGUGAUCGGCCACAUUGGGACUGAGACACGGCCCAAACGCAUACGGGAGGCAGCAGGAGGGAAGCUUCGGCAAUGGACGAGAGUCUGACCGAGAAACGCCGCGUGAGGGAAGAAGGUUGUCGGAUCGUAAAACUCGGUUGGUAGAGAAGAACGUUGGUGAGAGUGGAAAGCUCAGCAAGUGACGGUAACUACCCAGAAAGGGACGGCUAACUACGUG